rnacentral:lncRNA from 1 species
AACACCCUAUUUUGGCCCGGGUCUAAAGGACCCAAAUUACAAAUGGGCUUAGGUGGCCCAAAAUCUUAAAUGAAUAGAGGCCCAAAUGCCAUGGCCGAAAACGAAUAAAGAAACCCUAGGGUUUCUACAGAAUGCAUCAGCGCGUAGCCCGUCCGUGCCGCAGUCAAAGGCCAAAUCUCCAUGCGAUCUUCACCUGCACAAAAGGAAAGAAAUAAACAGCAAAGAUAGAAAGAAAAUUAAAGAUUCGUAAAUCGAAUCAAACAAGAUUUGUUUCUUUCUUUUAUUUUUCAUUCGGCUAUAAAAAGCCAUUGUAACACUGUAAUGGGGAGGGGAAAAAAUCAAUAAAAAAAGGACUAUUAUUUUUGCAGCAAACAAAGCACCAAAGAGCAAAGACCAAUCAAAAAUCGCAAGGUUGAUGUUUUAACAUCGUUUUAUUUUCUUUUAUUUUUUUCUAUUAUUUUUUUACUCUACUAAAGUACAAUAAAACAAAAGGUAAAAACUUACAUUCAUUCUGCCUUUUCAAAUGCCGUUGGAGAAGCUGAGGCUCGUCUCCGAGGAUAGACGAACGGAAGUCGAGGGGUUCCAAGGGAUUUUGAGGGGUUUUGUGGCGAUUUUUAAAGGAGUUGAGCCUAGAUUUGGGCUUAGAGAGGCCUAAGGAGUUGAAUAGAGGAUUUUCCCCUUUUUCGGCCACCGCAGACGACGGUGCCGGCGUCGGAGAUCGGCAGCCGGCGUGGUGGCCGGUGACCGACCGAUGAUCGGGCCUUAGGCCGGUGCCCGGAGGGAAGGUGAGAGGUUGAG